GAUCUAUCCAUGGCCAGGUUGAACCUGCAGUAACAUGCAGCGGAGGACCGAACCAGUUCAUGUUGAAAAAUGUUUGGAUGAGCUGUGGAUAGGGGUGAAAGGCCAAUCAAACUCAGUGAUAGCUGGUUCUCUUCGAAAUAGCUUUAGGGCUAGCCUUGCGUAAAUAGUUUGUGGGGGUAGAGCUACUGAUUGUUCGCGGGCCCUUACCGGGGUACCAAGAACUAUUAAACUCCGAAUACCAUGAACCGUACCGCAGGAGUCAGACUAUGGGGGAUAAGCUUCAUGGUCGAGAGGGAGACAGCCCAGACCGCCGGCUAAGGUCCCCAAUCCGGACUUAGUGGUUUGAAGGAUGUGAUGUUGCAUAAACAGCCAGGAUGUUGGCUUAGAGGCAGCCAUCAUUUAAAGAGUGCGUAAUAGCUCACUGGUCGAGUGAUAUCGCGCCGAAGAUGAUCGGGACUGAAGUCCAGAACCGAAGCCGCGGAUCGUGAAUUUAUUCACGGUGGUAGAAGAGCGUUGUAUGCGGGUCGAAGCCGAAGAGGGAUCUGAGGUGGACUGCAUACAAGUGACCAUGCAGGCAUGAGUAGCGAAAAACCGGAUGAGAAUUCCGGUCACCGAAAACCUAAGGUUUCCCGGGGAAGGUUCGUCCGCCCGGGGUUAGUCGGAACCUAAGGCGAGGCCGAAAGGCGUAGUCGAUGGAGGACAGGUUAAUAUUCCUGUACCACCUUGUUGGAGUGAUGGAGGGACGCAGUAAGUCAGGUGAGCCAACUGCUGAAUAUGUUGGUCGAAGGCCGUAGGGCGCACGAUAGGCAAAUCCGUCGUGCUUUCAACCCGAGAGUCGUAAGGUAGCCGAACGCAAGUUUGGCGAAUUCACUGUGACGACGCUGACGAGAAAAGCUUCUAAACGUUGAAAACAGGGUGUCCGUACCGAAACCGACACAGGUAGGUGAGGCGAGUAGCCUAAGGUGCGCGAGAGAAACCAACGUUAAGGAACUCGGCAAAUUGACCCCGUAACUUAGGGAUAAGGGGUGCCGCUUCAGGUGAAGGGACUUGCUCCCGGAGCCCGGAGCGGUUGCAACAAAGAGGCUGGUGCGACUGUUUAACAAAAACACAGCUCUAUGCUAACUCGCAAGAGGAUGUAUAUGGAGUGACACGUGACCAAUGCCAAAAGGUCAAUGGGAGAGGUUAGCGCAAGCGAAGCUUCGAUCUGAAGCCCUGGUGAAUGUCGGCCGUAACUAUAACGGUCCUAAGGUAGCGAAAUUCCUUGUCGGGUAAGUUCCGACCUGCACGAAUCGUGUAACGAUGCCAGCACUGUCUCAACGUGGAUCUCGGCGAAGUUGUAAUUCCGGUGAAAAUGCCGGAUACCUGCGGAAGGACGGAAAGACCCCAUGAACCUUUACUGUAAUCUGAUAUUGGUAUUUGAUUGCUCUUGUGUAGCAUAGGUGGGAGGCAGUGAAACCGCUACGCCAGUACCGGUGGAGCCACAGGUGAAAUACCACCCUGGUGUAAUUAGAUAUCUAACG
rnacentral:rRNA from 1 species